GUCAGCUUGAUGUUCUAGUGUCCCAGUUUGUCUGGUUCAACACUGUUCUAUCAUAUAUUAUAGAGGGAGCUCAUGGCAUGGAAUGGACAGGAAGAAUGGACCUGAUGAAGAACAACCAUGUGGUCCAUCUGGCUCAGGAUGAUCCUCCUUUAUAGCUGUUGUCCAGACAUGGUAGUUGGUAUCAGCUCUUUCCAUUUCAGAUAUGUCCUGACUGGGAAGAGAGAUCAUUAGAUCAUAUACUAAUCUCAUUUGAUGCAAGAUCUAGGAGUGAUAUGUCCUGAGCCUCUACAGCACAAGACGAAAGGCCAUGUCCAUGAAGAUGUAUGUAUCUGUCUCAUACAUCUCAUACAUGGAAAACAUCCGGGUUCAGAGGCCUCUGAAGAACUGUGAGAAUACUGUCUCCUUUUUCCUGACUAUCUUGUGACAUCACUGCUUCAGGAGAGAAGCCCAUAGCUUUUGGCACCAAGUUCCUGAACCAGCCUCCGGAUUACAGCAUAUGCUCAGCCAGGAGUUGCUCCCUUGUCAACAAUGAGCAUUAGUGCAGCAGUUGGAGAGGAAGGAGAAGCCUUUGUCUAUUAGGAAGCCUGCAGAGACUGGUUGCUAAGCAACCCAGUGUGGAGGCAGCAACCAGUGUGUACCAGGAGGGAACCCAGGGAGGUGGGCCUGGAAAGCAGGGAGAAGGCAUUCUUUUUGCAAAUCAGCUGAGGCACUGGAGAAUAAAAGGCAGCUCCACUGUCUGCCA
rnacentral:lncRNA from 1 species